rnacentral:lncRNA from 1 species
GUUAUUGAUUUGAUUAUUGCUCCCGGAGCAGGAGGUAUUGAUUUAACCAACAGGGGCUGCCUCCUGUACCUGCACCCCGGCCUGGGACCCGGGGACGUCCUGGGACUCCCAAACAAAGGCUCCGGGAUGGCCCAGGCUGGGGUCCACGUGCGCUCACGGCCCUUCCACAGUAAAGGGGUGGGGUCAGAGCGAGGUCAGGUCACCUGGGGGAAAGGGGGGGCGGAGCACGGGGCCACGUGACCCGAGCUUCUCUCGGGCUCCGCCGCCGCCGCGGCCGCCGCCACGGUUUGGCCAGCUGGUGAUGCGUCAGGCCCGGCGCUCAUCCCCGCGGCCCCACCCCCCUCCCGCCGCUGUGACGCCAUCUCCGGGCGCCGGGGGCAGGAUGCGGUGACGCCAUCUCCAGGCGCCAGGCUGGGGCGCUGGGCGCUGGGUGUGGGGCGGCUCCGGGCCGGGGAUGGCGGCGGCGGCGGCGGCGGCGGCGGCUCCUCAGGCCACGGCCCUGACACCAGCGGGAGGAGCCGAGAAAGCGCCGUGAGAUGGGCCGACUACCAAGCCAGUCGGGAGGAGACUGCUUCAUAUUACAGUUGCCCAGAAGCAUUGCUGGAAGCUCAGAUGUGGGUGCCCCAGUCAACAGUGGAAGGGGGUACAAGGAAAUCACAGAGAACUCUGUUCUGAUGUCCCCAGAAGCAAGCCGACCCCCUCCGGGCUC